rnacentral:tRNA from 1 species
UAAAAGAUAAGCUAAAUUUAAGCUAAUGGAUUCAUACCUCAUUUAUGGAAACUAAAAUCCUCUUUUUA